rnacentral:rRNA from 1 species
CAGCAGCCGCGGUAAUACGUAGGUGGCAAGCGUUGUCCGGAAUUAUUGGGCGUAAAGGGCUCGCAGGCGGUUUCUUAAGUCUGAUGUGAAAGCCCCCGGCUCAACCGGGGAGGGUCAUUGGAAACUGGAGACUUGAGUGCAGAAGAGGAGAGUGGAAUUCCACGUGUAGCGGUGAAAUGCGUAGAGAUGUGGAGGAACACCAGUGGCGAAGGCGACUCUCUGGUCUGUAACUGACGCUGAGGAGCGAAAGCGUGGGGAGCGAACAGGAUUAGAUACCCCCGUAGUCCCUGUCUCUUAUACA